GACAGAGGCCCCGAGCGUUAGGCGGAAUCACUGGGCUUAAAGCGUGUGUAGGCGGGCCCGUAAGUACCUUGUGAAAUCCCACGGCUCAACCGUGGAACGGCUGGGUAUACUGCGGGUCUUGGGCCAACUAGGGGCAGCCGGUACAAGCGAUGGAGCAAUGAAAUGCAUAGAUAUCACUUGGAACGCCAACGGUGAAAACAGCUCGCUGGGGAUGUACUGACGCUGAGACACGAAAGCCAGGGGAGCAAACGGG
rnacentral:rRNA from 1 species